CCUACGGGUGGCAGCAGUGAGGAAUAUUGGUCAAUGGACGAGAGUCUGAACCAGCCAAGUAGCGUGAAGGAUGACUGCCCUAUGGGUUGUAAACUUCUUUUAUAAAGGAAUAAAACGAGGCACGUGUGCCUUUUUGCAUGUACUUUAUGAAUAAGGAUCGGCUAACUCCGUGCCAGCAGCCGCGGUAAUACGGAGGAUCCGAGCGUUAUCCGGAUUUAUUGGGUUUAAAGGGAGCGUAGAUGGGUUGUUAAGUCAGUUGUGAAAGUUUGCGGCUCAACCGUAAAAUUGCAAUUGAUACUGGAAGUCUUGAGUACAGUUGAGGUAAGCGGAAUUCGUGGUGUAGCGGUGAAAUGCUGAGAUAUCACGAAGAACCCCGAUUGCGAAGGCAGCUUACUAAACUGUGAUUGACAUUGAUGCUCGAAAGUGUGGGUAUCAAACAGGAUGAGAGACCCUAGUAGUC
rnacentral:rRNA from 1 species